rnacentral:sRNA from 12 species
AAAGCUAUACAGUCCGGGAAGGAAAAAUAGUUAACUGCCAACAACAAUGAAAAUCAGUUCCUGCUCAUCACUCUUGUGGCCAAUUCA